UGACAUUUAUUUUGGUCCUUCGAGCCGGAUCAGAAAUAUCAGAACUGUUAUCUGUGACUCUGUUCCAGGAUCUGGCACACUGUUUCCUGACGCCGUGGAGCCAGCACCGAAGUCUGUGCCCUCUUAGACGAGGAGGACCCGGGACGUUCAAGUCCGGGCCGGUCUGGUCCACGGCGGUGGGAUUCAGUCUGACGAUCCGAAUCACCAGUGAGACGUCUGAGGGUGAGAGAAACACUAUUUUGUAAAACGGCCACGAAGGUUUUAAGAAACGCGUAAAAUAAAAUGAUAAAAUAGGUUAAGUUCGCCAAAAGGCCAAAAAGAACUAAGUUUAGACCAGUUUCAGAGGUAGCUGUUAAAUACUUCGUAACAAAUUAGCGCGCAAAUGUCUAUCUGUGUAUAUGUGUGUAUGUGUCUAGAAGUAAGUUGAUUUUACAGCACAAUACGCUGCUGAACUACUUCUAUUUUAUUGGUUUUCUUUGUUGAGGCUCACGUACUGGUGACAAAUGAGAACGGUUGAGUUUUAUCUCGUAAAACUGAUACCGCUUCAUUUUUUAGAAGUGAAGUAGAAGGGCGUAUCAGCAACCACUCUGAAGUCAAGCGUGCCAGUGACAGCCCAGCAAAAUCUUUGACAAUGGGGAAUAAACAAGCAAAAUUAACACCUGAUGAGGAAUAUUUAGAAAAACAACAAACCGGAGCAGGUAGAAUAAGUGCAAAUAGGUGGAGAAAUCCACAAAAAGCUAAAAACCACAGCUGGGAAGGGAAAUGCAAUCCCUCAGCUGUUACCCAGCUGAAAGCUGUCCUGAAACAAGAAAUUACAUUAACAAAAGACCCAAAGAA